ensembl:lncRNA
UACUGGAUUUGAGCAAGCACCAGAAACCACACAACUGGAAACUACUGGACAUUAAGAGGCACCGGAAAAGACACAAGUGGAAACUACUGUACUUGAGCAGGCACAGGAAACCACACAACUGGAAACUACUGUACUUGAGCAGGCACUGGAAACCGCUCAAAAGUUUGCUUAUUUUCCACUUUUUUUGAUGGCAAAAGUUCUGACAAAGUGUGCAGCAGAAAGAGGCCUUAUAUGAUCUCGGAGUUCAUCACUCACUAGCGCAUCAAUGUAUGUAUCUUUAUUAGAAAG